ACUAACGCUCUUUCUUUAGCCUGCGCACGGAAUCACUCCCUAUACCAAAACUCUCACCUCGGUGAAACCAUCUCUCUGUACCUAAACUCUGGCAUCCCUCUCUCUCUCCCCCGUGACCCUGCUUCCACCCUCUCCAAUUCCCGUGAGCCUCCUCCCAUUCUCUCUCUCUGGUGAGCCUCCUCGCCUCUCUCUCUACUGUGAGCUUCAUCCCUCUCUCCCCCGAGAACAACAAUCAGCUUCCUCACUCAGCAACCCUAAAUCCCCAAAUUCAGCAACCCUAAAUCCCCAAACUUAACAACCCUAGAUUCCGUGGACUCUGGAAUCUCUCUCACUGAAAGCCUCUUCCAUUCUCAGCAACUCUAAAUAAAAAAGAGUGGUUUCAAUCAACCAUUCACAGCAAGGUGCAGACACCGAUUGAUGGAGGACUUCACAUUUCACUUGAUGUUUCCAAGUUAGAAAACAAUGCUCGCACUACCUUAGGUCAAUGAAUUUACCUUGUUUUAUGGUUAAUUAUUAGUAAACUUAAUACUACGCCUUUUGGAGGGUGUUCCUUUUGGAGCCCUUGGACAUGUUUUUCUCUUAUGGGACCAUGUAUCUUUUACUUUUCAUGGUGUGUUCAUUGUUUGUAUUGAUUUAUCUUGGGGCUGUCUCGUUAUCUUGGGAUAGUGCCUAAUUGGGUUUGGAAUUUGUGACAGGUCUUGUAUGAUAUAUGGCUUGAAAAACCAAACAUAUGGCAUAAGUGCCCAAUUGGGUUUGGAAUUUAUGACAGGUUUUGUAUGAUAUAUGGCUUGAAAAACCAAAAAUAUGCUCAAUUGGGUUUGGAAUUUAUGACAGGUUUUGUAUGA